UUGGCCAACCAGUGCCCACGUGACAUUGCUCGGUACAAUACAUCGAAGGUGUCUUGUAAACAUCGUUCCGCGACAAUUUGAAAACAGUCGGAAAUUUUGCGACAGCGUGAUAAGAUGUCAAAUUUGUUAGUACAUAAUCGUAAUGCGUUUUGUAAGUGCUAGUAUAUCCUUUAUACGGUAUUACGCAUAAUCUUUUCGGAUAAAUCAAAGGAGGAUUUGGAGUACAACGUGGAAAAGGCAAGGGACCUUUCAAUUGGAGCAUGGCACCGGUCACGGCCAUACCACCUGGCACCUGGAAGGACAUUCUGCCAAAGACAUUUUGUAUAUCACCAGUGUCUGGAUGAUAGGCCGACUCGUAAAGCUUCUUGGCAUAGAUGAUUUCUUCUUUCGUGGUACCAGCUGGCUCAUUUCCAAGUCUGCAAAACAAUAUUGUUCAAUGAUGAUGAUGAUGAUUCCUUCGAAAAUAUUCGAAUUAUUCAAGUAAAAAAAGAAAAGGGUACCGAAAACGCUCAAUAUGAACGCGCAUUUCUCGGAGUUGCGCAACGUUAUUGGCACUAUCGUAGUAGAGGAUUCGUUCGCAUAACGCAUUUACUCAAAUGUUACAUAUGCAUCGAAUUGCAAAAUUAUGACGUCCGUGAAAACAAAAAAAUAGAGAGAGAAAGAGAUAAGGAAAUCUUGUAAAUAUUAACGACGCAUAUAAAGCUUAAGAUUUGUAAUUAUUAUCGUAAUAAUUUAUUUCAUUCGCUAUAAUCAACUUUUUUUAUAAAUACAAUAAAAAAAUAAUUUGAAUGUAUGUAUAACAGCUAUGAUAAAAUUAUAUUAUAA